ACUCCUACGGGAGGCAGCAGUGGGGAAUAUUGCACAAUGGGCGCAAGCCUGAUGCAGCCAUGCCGCGUGUGUGAAGAAGGCCUUCGGGUUGUAAAGUACUUUCAGCAGUGAGGAAGGUGGUAGUGUUAAUAGCACUAUCAUUUGACGUUAGCUGCAGAAGAAGCACUGGCUAACUCCGUGCCAGCAGCCGCGGUAAUACGGAGGGUGCGAGCGUUAAUCGGAAUUACUGGGCGUAAAGCGCAUGCAGGUGGUUUGUUAAGUCAGAUGUGAAAGCCCGGGGCUCAACCUCGGAAUUGCAUUUGAAACUGGCAGACUAGAGUACUGGUAGAGGGGGGUAGAA
rnacentral:rRNA from 1 species